UUGGGGAAAAAAAACCCCAAACCUUUCCAGCAAGUGGUUUUGUUAAUGCUGCCGUGCUGCGCGUGGCUUCUAGAGCAGCACCGAGCCUGGGAUAACCGUCGUCUUAAUUCUCAGUUUAGGUCUAUUUACUUGGGCUCCAGCCUGGAGAGUGUCCUGCAAGUACAGCGGUUAUCCCGGGAAAAAGGAGAGAGAGGGAGAGUGCCAGCGUGCCGGGCGGGAAGGCACGGCGCUUCUGCUGGAGCGCGUUUCCGGGCUGCGACACACGCUUGGGGUCCCACCAUCCCCCCAGAGCCCCAGCUUCUCCGACUCGUGACCUUUGGGCUCCUCCUUCCCGGGGAUGAAUCCCGGUUUUCUCCAAGGGGCCGUCGCAGGCGGCACGCUUUCUUCCAGCCAGUUUAACUCACUUGAAAAGGCGUUUGCAUAAUUAAAUAUCUGCGCUGAGAGAAGCCACCCUGAACGGUCUGAAAGCCGUCUAAAUUCACUGUUUAAAAUAAAUAAUGCAGCAAGAAAGACACAGGAUCGCUCCUGCCGAAGGUGUUUGGUGACGCGGAGAACCUCGCCGGCCGUGAGGUCCACGCUGCCGGCGCGAUGGCCGGGGGCAGGGCUCUGCAUCGCAGCCCAGGCAGCGGCCAGGCGUCCGGCAUCGGGUGGAAGGCGUCUGCCUGGCGAUC